AUUUUUUGAAUAGGUUCUCCUACUGCAAUGCACGGACAGGACGCCCGGGCAAGACUCGCACGCGGCACGGAUGGCGCGUAAGAGUCGGUUGCAUGCAUCUUCAGCAAACAUUCCCGGAGCAAUUAGAAAAACUUACAUCCGAA
rnacentral:ncRNA from 1 species